AAUCGUAGCAUCCACUGGGAGUACGCGCACGUGAACUCAAGAUGACGGGGCCCGCACAAGCGGAGACAUGUGUUAUUCGAUGAUACGCGAGGAACCUACCCGGGCUCGAACGGCUGUGAACGACCCAGAGAUGGGAAGGCCCUUCGGGGCGCCAGUCGAGUGCUGCAUGUUGUCGUCAGCUCGUGCCGUGAGGUGUCGGCUCAAGUGCCAUAACGAGCGCACCCUUGCCGUCAGUUACCAGCACGUAGAGGUGGGGACUCUGGCGGGACUGCCACCGCAAGGUGAGAGGAAGGGGGGGAUGACGUCAAAUCAGCACGGCCCUUACGUCCGGGGCGACACACGUGUUACAAUGGUGGGUACAGAGGGGAGCCAUACAGUGAUGUAGAGCAGAUCUCAAAAACCCAUCUCAGUUCGGAUCGGAGUCUGCAACCCGACUCCGUGAAGCUGGAUUCGCUAGUAAUCGCGCAUCAGCCAUGGCGCGGUGAAUACGUUCCCGGGCCUUGUACACACCGCCCGUCAAGCCAUGAAAGCCGGGGGCGCCUGAAGUCCGUGACCGCGAGGGUCGGCCUAGGGUGAAACCGGUGAUUGGGGCU
rnacentral:rRNA from 1 species